rnacentral:snRNA from 1 species
AUCGCUUCUCAGGCUUUUGGCUAAGAUCAAGUGUAGUAUUUGUUCUUAUCAGAAAUAAAUUUCUAUAUCAUUUAAGCCCCCAAAUUUUUAGGAUUUCUGUGUUAAAGGAUUUUAGCCUUUUACUCUAGCACACAAAAC